rnacentral:rRNA from 1 species
CGGCGAGUGAAGCGGCAACAGCUCAAAUUUGAAAUCUGGCCCCAGGCCCGAGUUGUAAUUUGCAGAGGAUGCUUCGGGCGCGGUGCCUUCCAAGUCCCCUGGAACGGGGCGCCAAGGAGGGUGAGAGCCCCGUACGGUCGGACACCAAGCCUGUGCGAAGCUCCUUCGACGAGUCGAGUAGUUUGGGAAUGCUGCUCUAAAUGGGAGGUAGACCCCUUCUAAAGCUAAAUACCGGCUGGAGACCGAUAGCGCACAAGUAGAGUGAUCGAAAGAUGAAAAGAACUUUGAAAAGAGGGUUAAACAGCACGUGAAAUUGUUGAAAGGGAAGCGCUUGUGACCAGACUUGCGCCGGGGCGAUCAUCCGGCGUUCUCGCCGGUGCACUCGCCCCGGCCCAGGCCAGCGUCGGUUCGGGAGGGGGGACAAGGACGUCGGGGACGUGGCUCCCCCGGGAGUGUUACAGCCCGGCGUGUCAUGCCCCCGCCCGGACCGAGGUUCGCGCUCUGCAAGGACGCUGGCGUAAUGGUCACCAGCGGCCCGUCUUGAAACACGGACCAAGGAGUCGAGGUUCUGCGCGAGUGUCUGGGUGCCAAACCCGCACGCGCAAUGAAAGUGAACGCAGGUGGGAGCCUCGGCGCACCACCGACCGAUCCUGAUGUUCUCGGAUGGAUUUGAGUACGAGCGUUGGGCCUCGGACCCGAAAGAUGGUGAACUAUGCUCGGAUAGGGUGAAGCCAGAGGAAAGGUGGUGGAGGCUCGCAGCGGUUCUGACGUGCAAAUCGAUCGUCAAAUCUGAGUAUAGGGGCGA